AAUGGCAGAAUAAAUUUAAAUGUAUUAACUUUAGAAGUUAAAUAUAGAAAUGUGGUAGUUUCUUU
rnacentral:tRNA from 1 species